UACGAAGGGGGGCUAGCGUUGCUCGGAAUCACUGGGCGUAAAGCGCACGUAGGCGGCUUUUUAAGUCAGGGGUGAAAUCCUGGAGCUCAACUCCAGAACUGCCUUUGAUACUGGCGACCUUGAGUCCGGGAGAGGUGAGUGGAACUGCGAGUGUAGAGGUGAAAUUCGUAGAUAUUCGCAAGAACACCAGUGGCGAAGGCGGCUCACUGGCCCGGUACUGACGCUGAGGUGCGAAAGCGUGGGGAGCAAACAGGG
rnacentral:rRNA from 1 species